ACGCACACGCACACUUCUCUCUCUGUGUUACUGGAUUGCGUGCGGCUCCCCAAGCUGAGUCCUCCUCUUCCUCCCUCCCCCUCUCCGAGCUGGCGCCACGGCCAUCUUAGUUGCAAGACUCACCGAGAUGCUCGCCCAGUGUUCUCUCUUCGCGCGACCGCGGGUAUUCAAGGGUCUUGUGCUGCGAUCGCACGCUCCUGUCGCGUGCUGGGAUGCCUCUCUGCCCUGGAUGGCGCAGCAGCAGCGCCGAUGCUCCUCCUUCGCCUCCGCCACGCCAGCCGCGCCCAGCACUGAUGCGGGAAAAGGUAACUACUUUCAUUUCUUCCGGAUUGCCAAGCACCCCGACCUCGAUGUGGCGGCUCUGCAGAAGAAGUACCACAACCUCCAGCGCCUCGUGCACCCCGACCAACGGCACGUGCAGGCGCAGCAGCAGCAGGCAGAGGCGGCCGAUGUUGCCCCCGCGACCUCGGGAUCGCCGCUGCCGUUUGCGUGCACCUCCAACGAAACGAAGAACAGCACCGAUGUCUCCACGUACGCCAACGCCGCGUACGAGACUCUGCGGGCGCCGUAUUCGCGCUGCCGCUACCUCUCUCGCCUCGUGAAGGCCGAAGAAGUCAAGGGUAGCCCGCUCAGUGCAGCAGAGGAGGAGGAGCUGCUGGUCGAGGACGACCAGCGCACCAUGAAGGCGCGUGAGGUGCGACCCGAUUCCCCCAUGAGCGAUGACUUCCUCAUGGAGAUGCUGGCUAUGAACGAGUUGAUCUUCGCUGGCGACUCGUCAGACGAGGGCGUGCGUCGGCAGUGGUCUGUGCUCCGCUUCGACCUCGAGGACCGCGCCGUUGGCUACUUCAAGGACGCCGUCAAGAGCUGGAAUGACGGCGAUAUGGGCGCCUUUCAUCACAUCGUCCACGAGUGGACGUACGUGGCCACAGCACUGAACAAUCUGAAGGAGCGCAUGCUCGAGUAGGCGAAGCGCAAAGGCUUCUUGGCUGUUUUGGUGGGGUGUUGGUGACGGUGCCACGGCAGACGCAGCGCGUAGGCGUUUUCUCGCUUGCUCGUCACCUCCGCCCCCCCCUCGACCCUUACCUCUUGCCAUGUCCUGACUCCUACUCUCUUCGGUCUUAUUGAUGGCCUUGCCGUAACUUCUACACACACCAUCGGCCCCAUCCUUUACCUUUACGCCCACUCCGUCAUCCCCGGAUGACAGGUGUGGCGGGCACGCGCCCCUCUCAGUGCGUCGUAUCUCAGGGCCCCGGGCGCCCCCACCCCCAUCUCUCUAUCUGUGCGGAGGGCCAAGCAGCCCCCCUCCUCCUGUUCCUGCUGAAUGCCGAGCUACUGUUGGUGGUGACAGAGUCAAGCGCUUACGACGUGGGGAGGUCAGGGCGGUUUACUGCUACGGGUGUCGGCGGUCAGGGCCCGGAUGGCGUUGCGUCGGAUCGACCCGCUACUGCGAACACGCCUGUACCAGCCACCUGAUGGGCGAAGCGCCAGCGUGUGUCUAGCACUGCUUCACACCACGCGAUGUGGGGCCUGUGACACACGCGGAUAAG
rnacentral:misc_RNA from 1 species